GUCUGUGCUCAUCAAUGGAAAAGGAAAGCGAGCGCCGUUUUAUGAUGAGACGUCUAAUGAGACAGUGUAUACUGCUAGGGAAAUCUUUCACGUCAAACAGGGUUUUAGAUACCGCUUUCGGAUCGCCAGUAAUGCGAUCACCAAUGCCCCGUUGAAAGUCAGCGUAGAUGGUCAUAAUCUAACCAUCAUUGCAAGCGAAGGAGGCGACAUCGAACCCGUUGAUGUGGACGCGUUCGUCAUCUAUGGAGGUGAACGGUUCGACUUUGUUCUCAAUGCUAACCAAACCAUCGGCAACUACUGG